GAUGAACGCUGGCGGCGUGCCUAAUACAUGCCAGUCGAGCGAACGGACGAGAAGCUUGCUUCCCUGAUGUUAACGGCGGGCGGGUGAGUAACACGUGGAUAACCAACCUAUAAGACUGGGAUAACUUCCGGAAAACGGCGCUAAUGCCGGAUGAUAUUUUGAACCGCAUGGUUCAAAAGUGAAAGACGGUCUUGCUGUCACUUAUAGAUGGAACCGCGCUGAAUUAGCUAGUUGGUAAGGUAACGUCUUCCCAAGGCAAGGAUGCAUAGCCGACCCGAGAGGGUGAUCGACCACACUGGAGCUGAGACUCGGUCGAGACUCCGAGGGGAGGACGCAGUCGGGAAUCUUACGCGAUGGGCGAAAGGGUGACAGAGCAACACCGCGGGAGGGAUGAAGGUGCUCGGAUGGUAAAGCUCUGAUAGUAGGGAGGUUCAUAUGUGUAAUUGACUGUGAAGAUAUUGACGGUACCGAAUGAGAAAGCCACGGCUAACUACGUG
rnacentral:rRNA from 1 species